CCUCCCCUCGCUGCUCACCUUGGUUCCCAAGAGCCGGGCGGCCGCAAGAUGGGGUCUUGCCAUGUUGCCCAGGCUGGUCUUGAACUCCUGCGCUCAAGUGAUCUGCCUGCUUUGGCCUCCCAGAGUGCUGGGAUUACAGCUCCGACUCAGAUUUUGAACGGAUGUUUAUAUGUAUACCACAGUGCUACAUUAAAAACGAGUCAUGUGGAUGUGGAGAAGGGUGCUGAUCAGGACUCCCUGUUUGCUACAAAUUCUACAGCAGAAACAAAGUAUUAAGGUUUGCAGCCAGGAAGCAAGUGCAUGGGGAAUAAGCCUGCAGCUUCUUCCAAAUGAGACAGAGCCAAAUCUUUUUUCUGAGUGUGUUUUCUUCAUUUCUAUUAAACCAAGGUCCUUUUUAA
rnacentral:antisense_RNA from 1 species